AGUAUAAAUAGUUAACUUUGAAACUGCGAAUGGCUCAUUAUAUCAGUUAUAGUUUAUUUGAUGAAGAAUACUAAUUGGAUAACCGUAGUAAUUCUAGAGCUAAUACAUGUAUAAAGUCUUGUAGACUGCAUUUAUUAGAAUGAAAACCAUAGGUUUCGGCCUAUUCGUGAGUAAUAAUAACUAAUCAUAUCGUAUGCUUACGUAACGAUGUGUCUUUCAAGUUUCUGCCCUAUCAGCUUUCGAUGGUAGUGUAUUGGACUACCAUG
rnacentral:rRNA from 1 species